rnacentral:lncRNA from 1 species
AUGCUUAGCUAACCAUGACAUGUGAGUGGAUGAUGCAAUGCUUAGCUAACCAUGACAUGUGAGUGGAUGACUCAAAACCUACCCCAACAACAAUUCCCACUCUUGCCGUGACUUACCUACCCAUUCCACCAGAAAUUUGUGCUUAAACAAGUCCAUCAUCUCCCUAUAAAUACCAUGCAGCAACCUCAUUGAAUUCAUCCAGAAAUUAACCAUUCUCCAAGCCUUUCCUUGCCUCUCCUACAUAUCUAAACCCCUUCCCAUCCAUUCCUCCAAAUAACCAACCCUUCAACAUCAUUCCAACCUUGUUGUGACGGCAAGGAGAAGUAGAAAAGUCCUUGGACGCGCUUGCUAUCCAACAUGGAUCGUUGGAACGUUUAGGUGCUUUCUUCCCUUUGUUUUUCAAUGGUUAAAUUUGUUUAUCUUUGUUUUGUAAUAAUGAGGAACUAAACCCCCCUUGGCUAGGGGGGGAUUCAAAACCAUGUUUAUGCUUGCUAUAUGAUUUGAUUACUUCCAAUUGCGUUUCUUGAAUUGUGAAUUCAAUUUACUUAUCCGUUCGUAUAAAAACUAAUUUGUGUAUGUUGGUUGAGAGUGCACGCUUAAUUUUCAUGCAUGAAUUUGACGCUAGAAUAUAAGGGAGUUUCACCUAAUCGUUAUGAACUUAUAUUCACAAGUAGUGAAGGUUGCUAGUCACAAUCACGUUAAGUAAAUUCUUGGCAUAAGUUUCAUGCAAAUCAUAGUAACGAGUGCCUCGUCAAUGCUUAUGUUUUUCAUAGAACUUAAUGAUUCUUGAUUGUAUCUCUAUUAUGCAAUUCAUGUAGGGAACUUGUAGGGAAUGUUUUGGGUUGUCGUAUGCAAUCAUCCAAUCUAAUAACUUGUUGAAAAACUAAGAGUUAAUUAGUGCAAUUCACGGUUAAUUUAGGGCGUUGAGUAUUCAUAACUUAUCGAAGAGCAAUUGGAAAUCAUUUUGUAUGCAAGCAAGACAUGUGUGGAGAAAAACCCCUUAGCUAGCCUUCCAUUAUCCAUUCAACCCAAAUUUGUUUAAAAUCUAUUUAAGUUUUUAGUUUAUUCGUUUUUACUUUCAACUUCACCAAACUCAAAUCCCCCUUUUACUUUCUUGUUUUAAAAUCUUUUGUUUACAUUUUUAACUUUGUUUCUUUUUGUUUUUGAGUCAGUUUAGAGGUUUUAGCAAGCCCUCCUAAUCCCCGGUUUAGAACGAUCCGUACUUACAUACUUUGCUACAAUUGUCAAAAAGAGGGUUUAAUUUGUGUGUCAAGUAAUUCUCGCAUCAAAUUUUGGCGCCGUUGCCGGGGAUUAGCAACUUUGCUAAAUCCCCAUUGUUUCUUUUUAUUUCUUUUUUUUUGUGUGUUUUAAUUUUAGUUUUAAUUUUAUUUGAUUUUAUUUAUUUCAGGUACUAGUUUAUGACUCGUAGUUCUCAACCAGUUCGUGCACAUAUAUCGGAGUUUGACGACAAUUUUGAACGAACUUUGAGAAGGAAAAGGAAAGUACCAGAACCUAGUCCACCUAGUUCUAGUUCUGAAUCUGAAUUUGAAGAAAAGGAGGAGGCAAAAAAAGACAUGGAGGUGGACAAUCGAACAAUCAAAGAACUUUCAGCUUCGGGAUUGGACAAUGUUGCACCUCUAUGCAUCCAAUACCCCGCAGCAGCCCGAGGAAAGACAGAAGAAUUUGAAUUGAAGUCAAGCUUGUUACACCACAUUCCGAAGUACCAUGGGUUGUCCAUGGAAGAUCCUAACAAACACUUGAAAGAAUUCGAGGUGGUGUGUUCGAGCAUGACCCCCGUCAAUGUCGAUGGGAGUAUUUUUGAAGAGAUGAAAGCCUUCCCUUUUUCUCUCUUGGAAAAGGCGAAGGAUUGGUUGUACGAAUUAGGGCCCGGAACCGUCACAUCAUGGGAAAGCAUGAAACGGGCCUUCUUGGAGAAGUUUUUCCCAACUUCUCGAGUCAUCCUCCUACGGAAAAGGAUAAGUGGAAUUCAACAAGAGGAAGGUGAAUCUUUUCCUACUUAUUAUGAACGUUUUAAAUCUCUUGUUGCUUCUUGUCCAUAGCAUCAGAUGAAGGAGGAACUUCUUUUGCAAUACUUCUACGAGGGGCUACUACCUAUCGAACGUCAAAUGCUAGAUGCCUCGGCGGGAGGAGCCUUGGUGGACAAGACCCCCACGGCAGCAAAGACUUUAAUUUCCAACCGUGCGUUGAAUGCUCAACAAUACGAAGGCGUUGGACAAAGGAGUAACCCACGACCACAUCAAGUCAAUGAGGUAAGUGCCAUAACCGAACUUCAAAAUCAAAUGGCUAACCUUACUACUUUGCUUUCUCAGGUAGUGGAAGGUCCAAAAGUGCAAAACGUGGUAGCUUGUGGCGUGUGUUCCAUGCAAGGCCACCUUACGGACAAGUGCCCACAGUUGAUAGAAAAUGGAGGGUGGGAGACCCUCAAUGCCGUGGGAUUUGACAACCAAUACCAACCAAGGAAUGACCCCUUUUCCAAUACUUACAAUCCCGGUUGGCGUGAUCAUCCAAAUUUCAAAUGGCGAGAACCCCAACAAGGCCAACAACAAAGCGGAUUUAGGCAACAACCCCCGGGUUUCUAUCAAAAGCCGUUUGCACCAACUCAACCCCAAGCACAACCUGCCCAAAAAUCAGGAUCGUCUAUUGAUAAUGAUCAAAUUUUUAAUUUACUAAUUUCUAUGGCGCAGGGAAUGCAAAAUAGGGACAAAAAGGUGGACGAGUUGGAGAAACAAGUAGGGCAAAUUGCCGAGUUUGUUGGGCAGUUUAGAGAACAAGGCAAGCUUCCUAGUUCAACCAUUGCGAAUCCAAAAGGAGGCUUUGAAACCGUCAAUGCAAUCAUGUUGAGAAGUGGUACACAGGUUGGAGCCAAACCAAAAUCAUCCAAAUCAAGUCACGAUGAGGAUGAAAAGUUGCUACAAGAGGAAGCACAGGGACCAAAACUCACGGCCAAGGAUGAACAAUCCUUACCACCACCAUCUAGCCCUCCUAAGCCGUCCCAAACCACCAAGGUAAGUCCAAAUUCGACUUUUUCUAGUUCCAUUCCACUAAAUGUACCCUUUCCUGGCAGGUUUAGGCAAUCAAAGAAGGAAGAAGCCGAGAAGGACAUUCUAGAGACCUUUCGGAAAGUUCAAGUCAAUAUUCCGCUCCUUGAUGCAAUUAAGCAAGUCCCGAGGUAUGCUCAGUUUUUAAAAGAACUUUGUACAUCAAGGAGAAGGAUUUCGAACAAAGAGGUGGUCCAAGUAAGUGAGAAUGUUUCUGCCAUGUUACAAAGGAAAUUACCCCCUAAAUGCAAAGAUCCGGGUAGUUUUUACAAUUCCGUGCGUUAUUGGCAAGACUAAGUUUGAACAAUGCAUGUUAGACUUAGGGGCUUCGAUUAAUGUUAUGCCAUACUCUAUUUAUGCAUCUAUGAACUUAGGUGAGCUUAAAAACGAUGGUGUGAUUAUUCAAUUAGCCGAUCGUUCUAAUGCAUAUCCAAAGGGUGUUUUGGAAGAUGUGUUGGUGCAGGUGGGCAAUUUGAUUUUUCCAGCGGACUUUUACGUGCUUGACAUGGAGGAUUCACCCUAUUCUACCCCAUUGCCGAUACUAUUAGGGCGGCCCUUCAUGAAAGACAGCCCAAACCAAGAUUGAUGUGGCUAAGGGAGAGUUAACAAUGGAGUUUUGGUGAUGAAUUGAUUAAAUUCAAAGUUCCUGAAUAUGUUAAGAAUCCUCAUGAUGUUCGUUCUUGUUUUGCAAUAGAUGUGAUUAAACAUGUGGGGAAGGAACAUUCAUGCGCACCAAUCAAGAAGGAUGUCCCUAGAUGCAUCAUCGAAGAGGGUAUUGGAGUGGAGCAUACAAAACAUGUCAUUACACCCAAAAUACCAAAUCUGGCCGAGAGCACCACCUUUGCUGCCCCUUUUGAGUCUUCAUCUACAUGCAUUGGUAAGCCUCCUCCUCUAAUUCCAAUUCCCAUUUCCACUAAUAGGUUAUUGCCUUCUGUGGUGCAGGUACCAAAUCGAAUCCAUGAUUAUGGGAGUUUUUACUUUGACCUUGGGAAGCUUAAUGCCACAAUCUGGGACCAUCAUUAUCCACUGCCAUACAUAGACCCAAUGCAUGAGUAUUUCACGGAGCAUGUCAUGGAGGAUGUACCCCUCCAUGCCGUGGCACCUAGUCAAGCUUAAACGGAGGUACCGUCCGGCUGGAAGACGUUAAAGAAAGCGCUUCGUGGGAGGCAACCCAUGCAUUCGACAAAGGAAGGCCUAGAGAGCACUCCAAUUCCAGAUUUGCGUUCCUAAACCCUUCUCUUUGUUGUUGAAUUAGUUUCUGCCAUAUUUAGUUUGUUAGUGUUUGUUUGUUUGUUUAUGUGUUUUUGUGUUAGUUAUGCUUUGAAACAUUGAGGACAAUGUUUGGUUUAAGUGUGGGGGGGGGGUAACCAAAGUGUUUUGAUGCAAAUUCGUAGGGUUUUCUCACUCAUACUUCCCUAUGUUGUUUCUUGCUGUUUUUAGAUGUUUUUAGGCUGUUUUGGUGAGUUUUUAGUGUGUGCUGACUUUAUAACUCCGAAAAUCACAUAAAAAUUUUGAAAAAUUGCUUUGCAAAAACCCAAAAAGAGUUGUUUUUUGUGUGUUUGUUUGUGUCUUAGGGUACCUUCCAACACAAUGAUGAGGAUUUGGUUUGUAAUUUCAUGGCUGUUAAAGAGAGUGAUUAACAUGGAUGAAAGUUUGAUUUAUUCUUUGUUUAUGCUUGGUUGUGGUUAUAACUUAUGAAUUUACAUGCAAUCUUAAAGGAAAAAUUAGUUUUUGUAACAUGCUUGAAGGAAAGGAACUCAAACUAACGCUACAACCUUGUGAGACUUGAGCCUAAACGUUUAUUUGGAGAGUUAAUAAUCUGUGAUUUAUUGUUUUCUAAGUCGUUGCAUGAUCUCAUUAUUCUUUGCUUGGUUACUACUUAGAAGGCGUUUCAUCAUUUAGUUCCAAAUGCUCUAACUCAUACCCAUUUCAUUCAAAGCAUGUCAUUGAUUUGCAUAACACACAUAUUCAAGAUAAAGUUGUGUAGUGACCACCACCAUAACCAAAAAGCCGUGAAUCCCCUAUGUCAUUAUGUUUUGUACGUUUUAAUUCCCCGUUGAGCUUUGUGAGCCUUUUCUUUGUAAACCCACAUUACCCUCACCUAGCCUAGAUUUGGACCAUCCAUUAACCUUGUUCUUAAAGCGUAGUAAAGCAUGAUUUUCAAAUUGAAUUCCUUUUGUGGCAGAAAACAAGUGUGGGGGAAGUGUUUUUCAUAAGGAAUUAUGUGCCAUAGGCACGGGUAAAAAGAAAGAAAAAAGAAAAGAAAAAUGUGAAAAAGAAUGCGAAAAGAGUUGAAAAGAAGUGAAAAAGAGUUCUAAAGUGUUGUUUGAUGAAGAAGGGGUCCAAAACAAUGAAUUCGACCCUAAGGAGUUGUUUAAAUCUUCCCCUUGUGUUUUAAAACUAAUUUCUGCAAUCUAAGUAAAUUCUAAGUCUCAAUUUCAUUACUUUGCUUACUAUCACUUUAAGAACGUUUGUUUUCCUUAUCCUUUCUUUGUUAGCCAAUACCCCAAGCCCCGUUACAACCCUUGACUUCUAUCUUGAGUGUUAUGUGUUUCAAUUUGUGGAGAUUGAACUUGGUAUGAGCAUAUGGUGUCACUGGUUCUCGCAUCUAAGUAGUAGCAUUCCAUUCAUGAGAUCAUAUCUCAACAUGCUUAUUAACUCUAGAAAUUGUGUUCUUUGUGAGCAUUCGUUUUUAUAUCUACAUCAAUUCUCUCACAUAUAACUAGUAUAGGGUGUGUAGUUAGAAAAUCUGAGUGAAAAUAGAGUGUGUAUCUUGUAAGGAUUGAGGGAAUUCUCUAAGGCAUGUUACUACAUUCAAAACAUUGUUUUAAUUGGUUAAUUGUGAAUUAGUAAGUAGUGACUAUGAUUAAGUAUGUGCUUAAGUGUUAAAUUGACUCAAUUCUGUGGGAAUGAUAAUCUUUAACAUGUCAUGUGCAUUGGAAAUCCCUAAGGCAAACGUUGGAAGGUUUAGGUUGUUUUUGUUUGUUUGGUUUGGUUUUGUUUUUCUUUUGUUUCUUUGUUUUGCUCGAGGACUAGCAAAAGCUAAGUGUGGGGGAAUUUGAUAGGAGCAUUUAUAUGCGACUUAGUUAACUAGUUUUCUUGCAUUUACGUUAUUAGUUCUUAGUUAUUUUAGUACUUUAAGCCAUUUUCGUGUGUUUGUAGGUCCAAAGGGCUAAGGUAGCAAGAAAGUGCAUUUUGGUGCAUUUUGGAGUAGUUUUGAGCUUGGAAUGGAUUACAUAUGAUAUGAGCAAGAUGGAUGGACGAAUUUGAAGACAAAAGAGGCUAAGAACAUGCUAAAAAUCUGGUGAAACAAAUACAAGUUGCAAGAAGGGAUAAAUUUCUAAAAGGAUUGGCCAAAACUUCACUCAAAACACAUCAAUGCCGUGACUUUUACUUCCACCUCCACCAGAAAUUUGAGUAAUGAUGCAAUGCUUAAAUCACCAUGACAUGUGAGUGGAUGAUGCAAUGCUUAGCUAACCAUGACAUGUGAGUGGUGCAAUGCUUAGCUAACCAUGACAUGUGAGUGGAUGACUCAAAACCUACCCCAACAACAAUUCCCACUCUUGCCGUGACUUACCUACCCAUUCCACCAGAAAUUUGUGCUUAAACAAGUCCAUCAUCUCCCUAUAAAUACCAUGCAGCAACCUCAUUGAAUUCAUCCAGAAAUUAACCAUUCUCCAAGCCUUUCCUUGCCUCUCCUACAUAUCUAAACCCCUUCCCAUCCAUUCCUCCAAAUAACCAACCCUUCAACAUCAUUCCAACCUUGUUGUGGCGGCAAGGAGAAGGAGAAAAGUCUUUGGACGCGCUUGCUAUCCAACAUGGAUCGUUGGAACGUUUAGGUGCUUUCUUCCCUUUGUUUUCAAUGGGUAAAUUUGUUUAUCUUUGUUUUGUAAUAAUGAGGAACUAAACCCCCCUUGGCUAGGGGGGGGAUUCAAAACCAUGUUUAUGCUUGCUAUAUGAUUUGAUUACUUCCAAUUGCGUUUCUUGAAUUGUGAAUUCAAUUUACUUAUCCGUUCGUAUAAAAACUAAUUUGUGUAUGUUGGUUGAGAGUGCAUGCUUAAUUUUCAUGCAUGAAUUUGACGCUAGAAUAUAAGGGAGUUUCACCUAAUCGUUAUGAACUUAUAUU